GACGAACGCUGGCGGCGUGCUUAACACAUGCAAGUCGAACGGAAAGGCCUGCUUUCCCUUGUGUACUGCGGGUGCUCGAGUGGCGAAAGGGCGAGUAACACGUGCGUUAUCUGCCCCCAUAUUGUGUAUAAGCUUGGGCUACUGCCUCUAAUUCCCGAUAGCACCGCAGGGUGGUGCGGGUGGUUGCGAACGAUGUUGUAGUAGUCGCGGAUGAGCGCGCGGCCUAUCAGCUGGUUGGUGGGGUAAUGUCCUACGAAUGCGGGGACGGGUAGCCGGCCUGGGAGGGUGGGCGUGCACAUUGGGACUGAGAUACGGCGAAGACGCCUACGGGAGGCAGCAGUGGGGAAUAAGACACGAGGGGUGGUAGACUGAGGCAGCGACGCUGCGUGGGGGAUGCCGGCCGUCGGGUUGUAACCUCCGUGCGACCGCGAGGAAGCGACCGUGUUGGAGGGGUGGUGACGGUAGUGGGAGAAGAAGCACCGGCUAACUACGUG
rnacentral:rRNA from 1 species